rnacentral:rRNA from 1 species
UACGGAGGGAACUAGCGUUAUUCGGAAUUACUGGGCGUAAAGCGCACGUAGGCGGCUUUGUAAGUAAGAGGUGAAAGCCUGGUGCUCAACACCAGAACUGCCUUUUAGACUGCAUCGCUUGAAUCAUGGAGAGGUGAGUGGAAUUCCGAGUGUAGAGGUGAAAUUCGUAGAUAUUCGGAAGAACACCAGUGGCGAAGGCGGCUCACUGGACAUGUAUUGACGCUGAGGUGCGAAAGCGUGGGGAGCAAACAGG